GCCGAAGUGGCGAAACUGGUAGACGCGCAUGGUUCAGGACCAUGUUCCUGUAAAAGGAGUGCGGGUUCGACUCCCACCUUCGGCA
rnacentral:tRNA from 1 species